AUUUGCACCAAUGUCACUCGGCCGCCAACUUGAAAAGUGAAGUAGAAAUUCCAGCAAUGAUUUCUCCUUCUCCAAUUGUUAACUUUGUCUCAAAACUAGUGUGUAGCUUGAUAUUCAAGUCUUCCAAUACCAUGUCUAUUUUCACCUUAAUUUGACUAAUAAAUCUUGAAAUAUCAUAGAAAUCCUAUCCAACCUCAAACUGCCACCUUCUAAAAUCCUCUUGUGCUAAAAACUAGAUAUCUCUAAACCAUGCCGUUAGAUUAUCACAAAAUUAUGUAUACACUUAGCACAUUCAAUAAUCCAAAUAAUAUGAAGUUUUCAACUAUAUAAGUCAUACCAAUUGCACAAACUAGCCAAAAUUGCCAGCCCUAAUUAUAUUAUAUAAAACCCAAA
rnacentral:lncRNA from 1 species